rnacentral:tRNA from 1 species
GGGGUUGUGGCUCAGUGGUAGAGUGUUGGCCUAGCACAUGAGGGGUUCUGGGUUCAAUUCCCAGCACCA